rnacentral:rRNA from 1 species
GCCAGACUCCUACGGGAGGCAGCAGUGGGGAAUAUUGCACAAUGGGGGAAACCCUGAUGCAGCGACGCCGCGUGAAGGAAGAAGUAUUUCGGUAUGUAAACUUCUAUCAGCAGGGAAGAAAAUGACGGUACCUGACUAAGAAGCCCCGGCUAACUACGUGCCAGCAGCCGCGGUAAUACGUAGGGGGCAAGCGUUAUCCGGAUUUACUGGGUGUAAAGGGAGCGUAGGCGGUUCAGCAAGUCAGAAGUGAAAGCCCGGGGCUCAACCCCGGGACUGCAUUUGGAACUGUGUAGCUGGAGUGUCGGAGAGGCAGGCGGAAUUCCUAGUGUAGCGGUGAAAUGCGUAGAUAUUAGGAGGAACACCAGUGGCGAAGGCGGCCUGCUGGACGAUGACUGACGUUGAGGCUCGAAAGCGUGGGGAGCAAACAGGAUUAGAUACCCGUGUA